AGCCCGGAAAGGGGCCUUCAAGGACGUCAAACAGGGCGCCUACGUCCUACGCGUGCCGACGUUCGCCUUUACGUUGAGCUUACGCCGGAAGUGGGCGUGUACAGGCGUCUCCGGGCGCCGGGGAGAGGCUGGUCUAACGGAGUUUAAGCCUUUUGCGGGGCUCCUAGCAGUCGUAUGCUUGCAGAAAUGAUUACGUGAGCACAGAGGGCAGAUUACAAUGAGGAAAGCAUAUUAUCCAGUUUGUGUCUUUCAAAAGUUCUUUUUUCCUCUAUGAGUCACGGCAUAACCACGUUCUUGCUGAAGACACUGGCAGUUUAACUCCAGCAGGAAAAAUUUUUCCAAGCUGAGAGGAAACCUGGAUCCACCUUCUGUGUGAGGCUGUGGUUAGGAAGUCCAUAUGAGUCUCAGUCGACUCCUUUUGAUUUGCCCUUUGUCUUGGUAAUUCGAUCACUUGGAGCUGUGCACGUCACUUCCUGGUAAACUUAGUAACAAAGGAAGAGCAUGCCUGUGUGAGACGGUUUUCUUCAUAUACUUCAACCAAAUGCAUAUGGCAAUAGAUCCAAUGCAGAGGCAGAUGACUGUCCAGUUGUUGUUUUCGACCGAGCUAGAGCUUACGGAUGUCACAAAAAGGUACUUGGCUGUACUCCGACGGGAUAAGAAGAUUCUGCGGUUGAAAUAUUUUAACUACAGUCCUUGCUGACAAAAGACUAAAACCUUUUUAGCCAUUAGAAAAAUUACUCUGGCUACAGUUUCAUAUAUGCCCGGAAUUAUUGAAAUAAACUCUUUUUUUUUUUUUUUUUUGGAAAACUGACAAUAACCAUUAUAAUGAACCACAAUGACAUCAAAAUAUUUCUGUAAAAUAAUUGAUACAAAUGCUUUUAAAGGUUUUAGCGCUGGGAUUUAUAUAAGCUGAAGCAUAAAAUUACAUGAAGAACCUUCGUCAGAUAGCGGUUUCAUGUUGCUAAUUUGCACUCAGCUUUCAUAUUGUAUAGACGCGAUCCCAGUGCUAUCUAUUCAGACUAGUUUUUAGAUAUCUGUGGUGCUGCAAGCUAGGUUUCGGUGGUCUUUGAAAGCUGGUUUAUGUGCGUGACAUUGGACAAGAUUGAAUUGAAAUAAUUUGCUAGAAUUCUACUUAAUUUUAGUUGAUCUGAGAGAAGAUACUUGAAACUGGGGAGAGGUAGUGGUCUGGUGACUUUCACACGGUGAAUUUCAGAAAACUGUAAGCUUCAUAAAGAUGGCAGCCGCUUAUGCAUUUGCAAACGUCACCCAGGAAACUGCCUUGGAGCUGAGGCGUGUGAAACAAAGGCAAGUCCUUGAGCAGAUCCUUCAAGGAGCUUACGGGAGCUUCAGGGAGCUACUCAGGUCAAAACGUGGAUCCACGGUUCUUUGAGGUGAGAUAAGAUUGGUUCUGGUCCCUCCGAUCCCAGUAACCUGCACCAGGAAAAUGGACUUCUGUCUUCAAGUCUGUAGCUGUGUUGGCAAUGGUAACAAGAUUGUAGAGUUCUGAAAAACUUCAUCGUGACAAUUCUUGCCAGCUUGUUCACUGCUUUUAUGAAGGGAUGAAGGCUUGGAGUUGUCUACUCUGCUGUUUUCAGAGACGUCUGUCCUGUGGAGAGAAUGGGUGACACGGGUGUGGUAUUCCUGAUUCCAACAAAAGGGCAGCAUCCGGUCCAGAUCCCUUCCGACUUAUCUGGGAGUCUUGAGAGUUGGAUGCCUGAGGAGAUUUGUGGCCGAGCCCUGGAAAUCAUUGACCUACCCCUUCUGUGGGGUCUACUCCGAGGAACCCUAUUCCAUAACGUACGCACCUUCUGUCCAAGGCGCCUGGGCUCCUUGGUGAUGCAGACUGACAAGAGGCUUUUCAUCCACUCCGGGUGCUUUCAGUUCUCCCAGAAUAAGUAAGGCCAGGAAAACCUGGUAGCAGGACGUUUGGCGGACGUUUUCAGAGAGUUGGACUCUGGAGUCGAGCACUGAGCAUGGGCCUUAGGUCGGCAGGUUUCUGUGUGACCGUGACAGAAAACCGGAAAAGACUCAUCUCUUCCUUUUACCUGAACUGUUUUGAAGACCUCUGCUUGACAUCUUGCAAAGAACUUAUGCUUCCCUUGCUUUCAGCAUUUGGUGAGAAAGCACCAGACGGGCUAUUCAUUUCUCGCCAGCCUCUUGACAUUUCUCAGAUACGCAAGAUCCGGAUCAACACGGCCCUUGGGAGGGUGGCUGAGACGAAGGUGCUCACGCCUCCGCUAAGCCUGUGCUGCUGUAUGCUCGGAUUUUAUGUGAAUGUGAACUUGGGUUCACUAACCACCACCGACUGUCUCACAUCCUCUGAGACAUGUGAGGUGUCAGAAGGGUAUGUCUGCUCGAGUCCGGUAGAGACUCCUGAGACGUUCCUCUCCGCCGCUGGUGUCCUGGCUUCUCUACUUCACUUCUGGCCGCAACGAUUAGAAGAUGGAAAUGGGAGGGAGGUAGAAAUGCUUGGCAUCUGCCCAUUGUCAAGGAACAUUCCCUGUGUCUUCAGAGCUCAGAUUUAGUGUUGGGAGCCUCACAGGAGGAUGUGAAGUUGUGUUAUCCGAACCCAGGACUGUUCUCCACAUGCACCGAAAGUUACUGAAGGACGGAGCUGUGAAUUGCUGCUUUAGAAGGAAACCAAGAGCUAGCCUGUGGACAGUAUCCAGGAGGAAUCUGUGUAAAAUGCCAAUGAAAAUACUCCCAGUCAAAACAUGAGGUGUGUGGGUGAGCUGCGAACAAAGAAGACGUCAUCACAUUGAAGGCUCAACGUGCCAAGCGAGAAAGAUGACCAAUAGGCAGAUGAAGCACCCAACUGCACAGGCUAAAGGCGGACUCCGAAACAGAAGGCUUUCAAAGGGAAAGGAUUUGCAAAGACAAGAAGGAAGUCAGAUUUCAGAAAGAUCUGCUCCCCCAGUAGAGAACCUGGUAGGCAUUUGAUUCAAGAAACCAUAAAGUUAUCGAGGUUUCCAAGUUUAUAUCCGUGUGUUAAUGCUGGCAACAGACAACUUCCUCACGUGACGUUAUAGUCACAAAGACCAAGUCAUAGUCUCAGAUGCCAACAUAACAAGAUCAGGAGCGGAAUUGCUCUUGUUUGGAAACCAGGUUUAUGGGAUGUUCACUAUUUUAAGAGCUUGGAGACCCACGCCAGUUAGGGUGGUCCUGUUAUUUUUAAUUUAGCUCAGAAUGCAAAGUGCUUUACUUUUUUCCGUAUUGCCGUCUCUGAAGUGCUCAGUCGUGUUGGGAGUAGAGUCAUGUAUCAGUGUUGGCUUCCUGCUUCCCUCUUUUGGUCAAGUUCCUGCCAUUAAGAUGUGGAUUUGAUAGCAGGGUUGGCCUGUGGUGGUGGUGGUGAUUGUUGUUUUUAAAUUCAGUAUCAUUAAUUGUUUUUGUGUCCUCUGACUUGUUUGUACAGGAGUAACUAGAGUUGUUUUCAUAGAAGAUCCUUUGAACGGUUAUCAAAAAUGCAGUCACAUCAUAUGGAGGUCUAAAACUCUGCUUUUUGGGGGAUUUUGUUCAGCCCGUAGCCUUAUAAUUGCCUUUCAUGUUCAGAAGUAUUUUACUUCCUUUAUCAGAUCUGUUGGGAUCGAGAACUGAGAAAUUAAUCUACUCUACCAGGUCACCCUGAAGUAACUAUGACUGUAAGGGUCCCCAUGUUAGACUGUUCCUGGCCUGCAAGUGACAAGCUCAAAAUAUGUAUAAGGGGAGGAUCUCAUAAGCAUAGAGCAGACACCAGGCAACUUUUCCUGGGAGGAAUUUACGGAUACCUUUUCCACAUGUGAAUCAGCCCUGAAGAGUGGGUUUUUGAUGGGAUGUCUAGGUGGCUCAGUUGGUUAAGUGUCUGACUUUGGCUCAGGUCAUGAACUAAUGGUUUGUGAGUUUGAGCCCCGCGUCAGGCUCUGUGCUGACAGUUCAGAGCCCGGAGCCUGCUUUGGAUUCUG